UGGGGGAUAUUGCACAAUGGGCGAAAGCCUGAUGCAGCGACGCCGCGUGGGGGAUGAAGGCUUUCGGGUUGUAAACCUCUUUCGCUAUCGAACAAGGCCCGCUUAGGGUGGGUUGAGGGUAGGUGGAGAAGAAGCGCCGGCUAACUACGUGCCAGCAGCCGCGGUAAUACGUAGGGCGCGAGCGUUGUCCGGAAUUAUUGGGCGUAAAGGGCUUGUAGGCGGCUUGUUGCGCCUGCUGUGAAAACGCGGGGCUUAACUUCGCGCGUACAGUGGGUACGGGCAGGCUUGAGUGUGGUAGGGGUGACUGGAAUUCCAGGUGUAGCGGUGGAAUGCGCAGAUAUCUGGAGGAACACCGAUGGCGAAGGCAGGUCACUGGGCCAUUACUGACGCUGAGGAGCGAAAGCAUGGGUAGCGAACAGG
rnacentral:rRNA from 1 species